AAAAUGUGGAAAAAGUGAAGGGGUCUGAAUACUUUCUGAAUGCACUGUAAUAACGAUAGCACCUACAUUGCUCAUGUGAUGCCACAUGCCUCCUGCCUGGGCCCGCAUGCCACUCACUGUAACCCCACCCCCCGCAGUAACACAGCGCCAACACACCCUGCCCUCAAAACCACCCUCACACUGCUGUUUUCACUACUCACACUACUGAGUUCAGGGCUGCUUCUCUGUGUGUGUGUGUGUGUGUGUGUGUGUGAUUUGAGUGUUAAGACGUGUUAUGUUGAAAGACUGUGUAGUGAGAGUGUGUGGGAGUAUAUGUAAAAAUCUGUUCAUUAACAAGUUGCCAUAAUUAUAUGCAUACAUGAUUAACUGGUGUGUGUGUUUGGCAGCUAUCUCCCAGAGGAGAGCCCUUCAUCCAUCCAGUCCCAUUGGACUCUAUUAUGUAAGUCAUCAUGAGUCCUUUAUCCCCAUGAGUCUACUGGGUUAUUAAUGAUCUACUCAUUUAUCAUCCCAUUUAUGAUCUGUGUGUUUGAUCCCGACUGUAUUGGCAGAUCCAAGGUCAGUGUUUAUAGUGUGUUUAGUGUAAGCUCUGUUCCCACACGUUCCCUGUUAGUGUGCCUUUGAUCAACUUCUACAGUCUGUUCAUCAAUAAAGUCAUAAAUAAAAGCAAUCAUACAGAGCUGUUGUCUGUCACCACUGGUGUUGGUUGUCUGUCACCACUGGUGUUGGUUCUUAGUCGCUACAUUGGAUAUCUUCUUGUUCGGUGGGUCUAUUGCUGAAGCUGCCAACCACUGGUUGGCCAGAAACAGUGGGGAGAUCCCAAAGAUACUAAAUGGUGUGUGGCCUAUGGUCAGUAUCAGUCAGUUUUAUGACCUGCCAUUACUAAUGACUGACGGUAAGGGAGGGCUGGAAUAUAUUCCUUUGUUUCUCUGAGGGGUAAUCAGAGAGAAGAACUGUCUUCUCUUUAGAAAUCAUCAUGGAAACUGUCCAUCGUGGCCCUGUGUCUGCUGGGAGUUUUGGGUUCAACCACAGCCAAAGGUAAGAAACCUGUCCAACACACCUUUACAGUGGAUGGUCACCUGGCCUGACUUCUCAUCGACUUACUUCUAGACAGUCACUAUUACUUUCUUCUGAGUUUUAUUUUUCAUGAUAUGCACUCCUUUCAUUGGUUUCUACUUUCCCUCUCCUCUCAAACCUUCUCACUCUCUCCUUUCAAGGACAUAUCUCCUCACUCCACCCUCAGUCUUUCUCACCUGAUCUCGCUCUUCUCCUACUCUUCUGUCUGAUCUCCUCUUACUUGUCUUAAACUUCUAAACUCUUAAGUUCUCUUCUUUCACUCCUCUGUUCAUCCUCCUCUCUCACCUUGCUACACAAGUUCUUCUGAAUCUGCCAAAUCAACGAAGUAGGAAACAACUAUCUGCGGUCCUAAUAGAACAGGACGGACUUUGACGCUGUGGACCCUGACACCACUGACUACCUUAUGGCCCUGUGACCUGUACUUUUACGUGGAGAGAGACCCCACCAUGGACCCGUCCAUUGCUGAGACCACAGGAAACGCCAUCCGCAUCCUCAACAAAAACCCCAAGCGAUUCUUCCUCCUGGUGCAAGGGCCUCCAUGUCAGCAGAGCCUUGCACGAGACGGUUGCCUUUGACAACGACGUCGCCAAGGGGCCUGGAGCUGACCAAUGAGGAGGAAACUCUCACCCUGUUGAUAGCUGGCCACUCCCACACCUUCACCUUCAAUGGAUACCCCUUCAGAGGCCAAAGCAUUCUGGGAACGUCCUCAUUCUGACAGAUCUCCCCCCACCUUCCUGCUCUGCACCCAGGGUUGCCAUGACUGCAGUUUUCCGGCCAAAUUGGGAUACUUUGAAAACGACUACUUGGGCUACUUCUAAAUUGCAACAUAUUAACCUGCUAGAACUGCUAGAACGGGAAAUCUCCUCUGUAUGGGAAGGAUAUGCUGCCUUACACAACCGUGAUGUACGGAAACAGCCCUGGAUACAAAGUCGUAGACAACAAGCGCCCUGACAGCCAUAAAGUGGACACAAAGUGGAAGGACUACAUGCAGCUGUCUGCAGUGCCCCUGGACACUGAGACCCAUGGUGGGGAGGACGUGGUGGUACUGGCCCGCGUCCCCAUGGCCCACCUCUUCCACUGGGUCCAGGAGCAAAGUUACCUGGCCUAUGCCAUGGCUUAUACUGGCUGUGUGGGAUGGGACCUCAGGCACUGUGAAUGUAGACCUCAACACACCAACAGGAUCCUCAUCACUACUACUGCUGAUGAUAGGAACAGUGCACCAUCCCAGGUAUUCUGACGAGGAGGCACACAAUGGACACUGUCAAGUUGAUAGUGGCUAGUGGAACCUGACUAUCCAUGUAUCACCAGACUGGAAAAAAUUGUCUCUGAAUAUGAUUAAAUAUGUAAUUGUAAUACAAUUGGUAUUCGUUGUCUCAUAAAUCUAUGCAGAUCACAUAUAUCAUCUACAAUUAAUUUGAAUGAAUGGCUUCUCUAAAACCUUAUAGGAAUCAGUCACAGCAGCCAUCUUCCUCCUCCCUGACCUCUUCAAUGAAGAUCCCAGAGGUCUCUACAUUAUGGACGAGACUUUACCCACCCUACACCUCUGAUGAAUAUAACAGGAAACCUGUUUGAUCACCAUGCACUGCAAAACCAUUCUGGCGAUGGAUAUCCUACAGAGGGCAUCAACACGCCAGACAGAGGAUAUACCUAUUGGACUUGCGG